UUCAUCUGUGCGUCCAGAAGGGGUGGAGCCUGGCCGCACCUCUCUUAGACCUCAUUUAAGGGCUGACUGCCACUAGGGAAGGCUGUUUUUCUAGAGAUCCUUUAUCCUCUCCCCAACAAACACUUUUGGAGGAGCUUUCAUGUACCAACCUAGUGUCUUCUUAUACAGGUUUCCUGUUAUGGGAUCCACAUAUGAAAAGAUAGAGGCAUGGGUUGAAUGUCCUUGCUGUACACAGAAAAAUAUUCCCAGCCAGAGAAUACAAACAACAGCAUCACAAAUUUAGAGCAUGGAAGAGGCCACCUGACCCAAAUUUUGCUUUGCCAUUCUGCUUGUGGCAGAAGAACAAAGGUUGUUAAAUACUUAAUUACCCGGAUGGUACACAUGGCUGAUGGAUUGACUUGGAUCAACGCAGUUGUAAUUAUUUCACCACAGUGUGGCUGACUAAGAUGGAUACUUGGACUUCACUCAAUGGUUUUCAACAUUCCACCAGAAAUAAACAGAGCACAGACUAUUCUCAAUAUGUUUAUGCAUCACUAACUUAUAUUAGUUUUGGAAACUGUGAAAUUUAUGCCAAUUGUUUGUAAAACAGAGUACAGUUUUGAUUUUUUUUUUCUUGUCCCGCAGCCCAGAAUCAAUAUGUGUACAAUUUCCAUCCUCCUUACAUUACGUACUAUUCCUAAGAGCUGAGGCCAAGAAAUAAAUUGACCUAAUUCUUUUUCUCCAUCAAAAUUGUGGGUUAUCCUGUCCCUUCUACAUGGAUUUUGCAGAAAAAAAUUAAGACAUAAAUCCAGGUCUCAGUUUCUUUGGACAAAUAUACACAGAAUCAAAAGUUUGGCUAAGAGCAAAGCAGGUGAAGACACUGACACAAAAUUUGAAUUCAUAUGCUAAUAUAUUUCUACAAAACCUAGAAAUAGGUGGGCACAUGUAAGCUCCAGCUCCAGUGCAAUGCCUGACUACAGGUUGGCUCAUAGGAACAGUGCUAUACUAAUGACAAUAAAUGUCUCCCAAUCAGGAAUCAGUCAUGUAGAACCAGCUCACGGGUCCAGCAAAUGACAGAGCUAUUGUAUGUGAGCAUUUCUAAAUCCUUGUCUGCAUUUAGUUCUCUUUUAGAAGUACCCUCUAGAAGCAAUGGUAGGGAUACUGGAAAAGACAUGAAAACAUUGAUCUUUGUCCCUCCUUCCCUCCAUGUCUUCCAACCUUUGGUCUGAAAAGGAUGAUGAAAGUCCUGUUACGUUGUGGAUACCGAUGUCUUCACUGUGGCAACCAGCAGGACAGAUGUUACAGUGCUGUUUGAUGGCAGCACAAUUAAAGAAAAUAUUUGACAUGGAUGUGACCACAGAACUACAGCAAGCUGUGAAGUACAGGCUAGAGUUCAUUAAAAAGUCUUUACAUUUUUCAGCCUUGUGGUAAUUUUUUUUUUUUUUUAAUGAAGCACAUACAGAUUAAAGAUUAAUGAAAUUGAAGCUAUUUUUCUAAAAAUGCUUUUUGUGUAUUAGUUUAAGUAAGGAAAAACAUUAAUUUCCUGAAACAUGUCAAUGAAUUCCUGACAUAGGAAGCCCAGUCAUCUCUGCUUUGAAGACUGUUUUCUUAAUUGAUUCAUUUUAUGUAAUCUGAAUGAGGCCUAACAUAACUCUCACAUCUACAGGCCACUCCAAACAAGGCUAUUGUUCAAUGUCACAUGAAUAAAUAAUUUCCAUAUAGUGGUUUUCUA